GAUUUGGGGGAGCCAGGGCGCUCAUAGAUCGCGGGGAGCCACAGAAUGACCGCAGAGCAGCGGCAGAAUCUGCAAGCAUUCAGAGACUAUAUCAAGAAGAUUCUGGACCCCACCUACAUCCUCAGCUAUAUGAGUUCCUGGCUCCGGGAUGAUGAGGUGCAGUGCAUUCAGGCCGAGAAGAACAACAAGGGCCCAAUAGAGGCCGCCUCACUGUUCCUCCGGUACCUGUUGGAGCUGCAGACAGAGGGCUGGUUCCGGGCCUUUUUGGAUGCCCUGUACCAUGCAGGUU
rnacentral:lncRNA from 1 species